AGAGUUUGAUCAUGGCUCAGAUUGAACGCUGGCGGCAGGCCUAACACAUGCAAGUCGAGCGGUAGCACAGAGAGCUUGCUCUCGGGUGACGAGCGGCGGACGGGUGAGUAAUGUCUGGGAAACUGCCUGAUGGAGGGGGAUAACUACUGGAAACGGUAGCUAAUACCGCAUAAUGUCGCAAGACCAAAGUGGGGGACCUUCGGGCCUCAUGCCAUCAGAUGUGCCCAGAUGGGAUUAGCUAGUAGGUGGGGUAACGGCUCACCUAGGCGACGAUCCCUAGCUGGUCUGAGAGGAUGACCAGCCACACUGGAACUGAGACACGGUCCAGACUCCUACGGGAGGCAGCAGUGGGGAAUAUUGCACAAUGGGCGCAAGCCUGAUGCAGCCAUGCCGCGUGUGUGAAGAAGGCCUUCGGGUUGUAAAGCACUUUCAGCGGGGAGGAAGGCGGUGAGGUUAAUAACCUCACCGAUUGACGUUACCCGCAGAAGAAGCACCGGCUAACUCCGUGCCAGCAGCCGCGGUAAUACGGAGGGUGCAAGCGUUAAUCGGAAUUACUGGGCGUAAAGCGCACGCAGGCGGUCUGUCAAGUCGGAUGUGAAAUCCCCGGGCUCAACCUGGGAACUGCAUUCGAAACUGGCAGGCUAGAGUCUUGUAGAGGGGGGUAGAAUUCCAGGUGUAGCGGUGAAAUGCGUAGAGAUCUGGAGGAAUACCGGUGGCGAAGGCGGCCCCCUGGACAAAGACUGACGCUCAGGUGCGAAAGCGUGGGGAGCAAACAGGAUUAGAUACCCUGGUAGUCCACGCCGUAAACGAUGUCGAUUUGGAGGUUGUGCCCUUGAGGCGUGGCUUCCGGAGCUAACGCGUUAAAUCGACCGCCUGGGGAGUACGGCCGCAAGGUUAAAACUCAAAUGAAUUGACGGGGGCCCGCACAAGCGGUGGAGCAUGUGGUUUAAUUCGAUGCAACGCGAAGAACCUUACCUGGUCUUGACAUCCACAGAACUUUCCAGAGAUGGAUUGGUGCCUUCGGGAACUGUGAGACAGGUGCUGCAUGGCUGUCGUCAGCUCGUGUUGUGAAAUGUUGGGUUAAGUCCCGCAACGAGCGCAACCCUUAUCCUUUGUUGCCAGCGGUCCGGCCGGGAACUCAAAGGAGACUGCCAGUGAUAAACUGGAGGAAGGUGGGGAUGACGUCAAGUCAUCAUGGCCCUUACGACCAGGGCUACACACGUGCUACAAUGGCAUAUACAAAGAGAAGCGACCUCGCGAGAGCAAGCGGACCUCAUAAAGUAUGUCGUAGUCCGGAUUGGAGUCUGCAACUCGACUCCAUGAAGUCGGAAUCGCUAGUAAUCGUAGAUCAGAAUGCUACGGUGAAUACGUUCCCGGGCCUUGUACACACCGCCCGUCACACCAUGGGAGUGGGUUGCAAAAGAAGUAGGUAGCUUAACCUUCGGGAGGGCGCUUACCACUUUGUGAUUCAUGACUGGGGUGAAGUCGUAACAAGGUAACCGUAGGGGAACCUGCGGUUG
rnacentral:rRNA from 1 species